GCGGCGGUGGUGGAAUUGGUAGACACACCAUCUUGAGGGGGUGGCGCCGAAAGGUUUGCGAGUUCGAGUCUCGCCCGCCGCA
rnacentral:tRNA from 1 species